UUUUAUUACUUAUGUGUGCAACUUUUUUUUUUUUUGUCAUUUGUACCAUAGUUAAAGAGAAAAGUUAUACUUAACAUGAGGUGAACCGGUAGAUAAAUCAGUGUUUCUAGCCUAAAAUGUGAUCUAAGAUCAGCUAAACUGACAGCUUGUGCUACGGUAACAGGUGUGCGCUGGUGGAGAUGAAACAAGGUUAAACACUAAACUAGCUCAUCAGAGUUGCGUGCAUUCACUCAGAUUGUGGGAAUUUAAGAAAUUUGUCACAAAAAAAAAAAAUGCACGCUAAAGUGUAAAAUCUCUAUCUUCUGCAGACAGAAGUGUGCGCUGAGUCGACUCGGUUCACAGAAUACACACUUUACGUCCAAGUGAAAGUGGGAGCUCUUACAGUAAGCACCACCUCUGGAGUCUCACAACAGUCCCGACACCCAACUCCAGCUUCCUUAUGCUCGAUGAGGAGUCGAACCAACAGACAUUUGUUGAAACCAAGUGGUGACUGAUCAGAUGUCUCGGGGUCGAAUGUCAGGGGUCGAGAGCAGAGGUCAAGCCAACAACAGCAUGGAGAAGACAGAGAGGAAAGAGCACUUUCUUACUUUCCUGCUGGACACCAGCAAUUCAACACACCAAAGAGUUCACUUAAAAAGCUACAGAAUGGGGUAAGCUA